GAUAGCUCAGUUGGUAGAACAUGAGACUCUUUAAUCCCAGGGUCAUGGGUUCGAGUUCCGAGUCAGACA